rnacentral:misc_RNA from 1 species
GGAAGUAAAAUCGUAACAAGGUCUCCGUAGGUGAACCUGCGGAGGGAUCAUUACAGAGUUCAUGCCCUACCGGGUAGAUCUCCCACCCUAUGUUAUUAUUACUUUGUUGCUUUGGCGGGCCGUUAGGCUCCGGCCCGACUACCGGCCCCGGCUGGUAAGCGCCCGCCAGAGGACCCAAAACCCUGAAUAUUAGUGUCGUCUGAGUACUAUAUAAUAGUUAAAACUUUCAACAACGAAUCUCUUGGUUCUG